AUGUGGUUACAACUCCCGCUUCCACUCUCUGAUCAAGACAACAUUAGCUGCUUGACUUCAACUUCUAUUCUUUUAGCGUAUCCCGACCUGCAACUUCGUAAACAGAGUAGAUCAGAGUGGAAACCUGGUCAUAUUUUUGAUGCCUUUGGGCCGCUUUUGCUCAAUAGCAUUACUACUAGAAAUGCAGCUGCUCUUACUAGAUUUGCUUCUUUUUUGGAUGUGAUGGGAGGAUCUAUGCACUCUGCAAUCUGGAUUGUCUCAUCUCCUUCCCCAUCCAUUUCAGAUCCUGCUUUUGUUUGUUUGAUCGUGCAUGCUUGA
rnacentral:rRNA from 1 species